AUGAGCAAUUUGAGGAGUUGCUA
rnacentral:siRNA from 1 species